AUUGAACGCUGGCGGAAUGCUUUACACAUGCAAGUCGAACGGCAGCACGGGUGCUUGCACCUGGUGGCGAGUGGCGAACGGGUGAGUAAUAUAUCGGAACGUAUCCAAUAAUGGGGGAUAACUAGCCGAAAGGUUAGCUAACACCGCAUACGCCCUGAGGGGGAAAGCUGGGGAUCGUAAGACCUAGCGUUGAUGGAGCGGCCGAUAUCUGAUUAGCUAGUUGGUGGGGUAAGAGCCUACCAAGGCGACGAUCAGUAGCUGGUCUGAGAGGACGACCAGCCACACUGGAACUGAGACACGGUCCAGACUCCUACGGGAGGCAGCAGUGGGGAAUUUUGGACAAUGGGGCCAACCCUGAUCCAGCCAUUCCGCGUGAGUGAAGAAGGCCUUCGGGUUGUAAAGCUCUUUCGCAAGGGAAGAAAACUCGAUCUCUAAUAUAGGUUGAGGCUGACGGUACCUUGAUAAGAAGCACCGGCUAACUACGUGCCAGCAGCCGCGGUAA
rnacentral:rRNA from 1 species